ensembl:lncRNA novel transcript
AAUGUCCCCUGAGAAGUUUAACCAUUUGAAAGAUGCACAAGAGAUUAUCAUUCAGCAGUUAACUACCCCUGAAAAUGAUGAACUUUCUCCACUUGCUCAAAAGCCCACAACUUGGUCUCCAGCUCAGCUCUCCUCAGACAUUGUAAGUCCAUUGAAUGAUGAGAUGGAAUUUUUCACCUGAAGAUCUGUCUUCAAUAUUCAGAAAUAAUUCAACUUUGCCUAAAAUCACAGUUAAAAAUGUGGAUAUAGAGUUUACCAUACCUACAGCAGUCACUAUAGAGGUUGAACCUUCUCCAGUCCAGCAGGACAACCCUCCUAUUUCCAGUGAGCAGGCUGACUUUUCUCUAGCCCAGCCUGAUUCCCCUUCCCUACCUCUGGAGUCUCCUGAAGAGAGUGAAUCUUCAGCCCAGCAAGAGGCUACAGCUCAGACUCCAAAUCCCCCUAAGGAGGUAGAACCUUCUCCAGUCCAGCAAGAGUUUCCAGCUGAGCCAACAGAGCCUGCUAAGGAGGUUGAACCAUCUGCAACCCAGCAGGAAGCCUCAGGUCAUCCUCUGAAGUCCACAAAAGAGGUCAAUCCUCCACCAAAGCAGGAGAUACCAGCUCAGCCAUCAGAGCCACCUGAGAAGGUUGAACUAUCUCCAGUCCUACAGCAGGCCCCAACUCAGCUUUUAGAGCCACUUAAAAAGGUAGAAUGCUCUCCAGUCCAGCAGGCAGUCCCUGCUCAGUCUUCAGAGCCCUCUAUUGUGGUAGAACCCUCUCCAGUCCAGCAGAUAGCCCAUCUUUGCCUCCAGAGCUCCCUCAGGAAGUGGAACCCUCUCUAACUCAGCAAAACUUUCCAGCUCAGACUCCAUACCCCCUAUGGAGGCAGAGCCUUCUCCAAACCAGCAGGAGGCCACAGUUCAGGCUUCAGAGCCCCCCAAGAAUAUAGAACUUUCAAGCCAGCAGAUGGUCCCAGGUCAGCUUCCAGAGCCACCUAAGCGGGUUGCAGCUCAACAUCCAAUGCAUUAUGAGAUGAUAAUUUCAACAGCAAGGCAGGACCAGGCUCAGUAUCCAGUGUCACCCAGUGUCACAUUUCAACCUUUAGACCUAGGGCUUACUAUAACUCCAGUAUCCACAAAGGAGGCUGAGCAUUCGACAACCCUGAGAAAAACUGCAGUUCCUCCAAAACACCCUGAAGUGACUCUUGCAACUCCAGACCAUGUGCAGGCUCAGCACACAAACCUAACUGAGGUCACAGUUUAAACUUUGGAUCUGAAACUUACCACAACUCCACAACCUACUGCAGAGAAUAUAUUUCCUCCAACCAUGGAGAACUCAAAUCAACUUCCAGAACCACCUACGGAGGUUGUAGCUCAACUUCCACCUCGUUAUGAGGUGACAAUUCCAACACAAGGUCAGGAUCAAGCUCAGCUUUCAACACUGGCCAGUGUCACACUUCAACCUUUGGACCUGGGGUUUAUCAUCACUCCAGAAUCCACUACAGAAAUUGAACUUUCUCCAACCAUGCAGGAGACCCCAACUCAGCCUCCUAAGGAAUUUGUACCCCAACCUCCAGUAUAUCAAGAGGUGAGUGUUCCAACACCGGGUCAGGAUCAAGCUCAGCAUCCAAUGUCACCUAGCGUUACAGUUCAACCUCUGGACCUGGUGGACUUACCAUAACUCCAGAACCCACUACAGAGGUUGAACAUUCUACACCCCUGAAAAAGACUACAGUUCCUCCAAAGCACCCUGAGAUGACACUUCCACAUCCACACCAGGUUCAGACUCUACAUUCAAACCUGAUUCAAGUCACAGUUCAACCUUUGGGUCUGAAACUUACCUUAACUCUAUGGAGGUUGAAUCCUCUAUGGAGGUUGAGCCUUCUCCAACCAUGCAGAAGACCCCAACUCGGCCUCCAGAGCUACCUAAGGAGUUUGUAGCUCAACCGCCUGUGUAUUAUUAUCAGAUACCCAUUCCAACACCAAGCCAAGAUCAAGCUCUGCCCUUCUACAGCCCCGAUGACUACAGCUCCUCCUCCAAAGCAUCCUGAAAUGACACAUCCACCUCCAGACAAGAACCAGGCUCAGCAUCCAAACCUGACUCAAUUCACAGUUCAAUCUUUGGACCUGGAGCUUACCAUAACUACAGAACCUACUACAGAGGUUAAAACUUCUCCAACCAUGGAGGAGACCUCAACUCAGCCUUCAGACCUGGGAUUUGCCAUAGUUCCAGAACUCACCAUAGAGACUGAACAUUCUACAGGCCUGGACAAGACUACAGCUCCACAUCCAGACCAAGUUCAGACUCAGCAUUGAAACCUGACUGAAGUCACACAUUUCACCUUCUGAACUAGAACCUACUCAGAAUUCACUGGUGCAGUCUGAAAGUUAUGCCCAAAAUAAGGCUUUAACUGCACAGGAGGAACCGAAGGCCUCUACAAGCACCAACAUAUGUGAUCUCUAUACCUGCAGAGAUGAAACACUCUCAUGUAUUGAUCUCAGCCCAAAGCAGAGGCUCCACCAAGUGCCUGUACCAGAGCCCAGCACCUGCAAUGACACCUUCACCAUCCUGUGAGAAUCGUCUUUCCUCAAUUGUUCUGUGUCCUGCCUGACAUGACAGCCUUUUCGUGGAGGCCUUCCUGGGCCUCCUUUAUCUCACCAAACCGAACUGACAACGGACUUUCUGCUUUCACCUUUCUUGUCAAUUCUUCCUUCUCCUGGUUCUCCUUUACUGUUAGGCCCCUUCUCUGGUCUUUUACUUGUGAUUGCUCUUAACCCUUUUCUUAUCCACUUUCCUUUAGCCCCAUCACAUCAUUGCUUAACAGCGGCUCUCCUCCCAUUUUCACUUCACCCUCUUUACAGCAGCCUGUCCCUCUUCCCAUCUCAGUGAUGAUGCUCUAAGUGGUUAAGAGUUGAUUCUGUAGCCAGGCUGCCUGGGUUUGAACCCAGGUCUGUCAUUUAUUAGCUUGGUUACCCUGAGCAAGUUAUUCUUCUCUGUGACUCAGUUUCCUCGUCUUUAAACUGGGGAUUAUGCUAGUUACCAUGCCAUAGGAUUGUUGUGAGAUUUAAGUGAGUGCAUACAUGUAUUGCUUACAUCGGUGCCUAGCAUAUGUGGGAGUGUUGGCUGCUAACAUGAUUACUCAGUCCUUUAGUUAUGUCCAGAACGCAUCUUUGUCCCUGGCUUUCUAUCUGUAGCAGUCGUUUUCUGUCAACCCUUGGCCAAGUAUGAUACUGUCUUCAGAAAUGAAAAUGAUAGGAGGGAAGAAAGAGACUAGGCAUGAAAAGGAGGUAUAUAUAAUGAAAUACUACAAGAUAAUGCAGACCAUCGGUGCUAGGAUUCACCAGAAUCUGUGAUCCUUGAGGUGUGGAGAUCAGGGAAAGCUACAUCAAUAAGCUAAAACUUACUUGGGACUUAAAGUGUAGCUAUAAUUUGUUAAAUAGAAAACAAAUGGGAGUACAGUCUAGGCAAAGUCAUGAUUACAGGUAUGGUUGAAAUUUGGUAGACAAGGCUGCAGCUCAGCCUCCAGAGAACCCCAGGGAGGUGGACUCUUCCUCAACCCAAUUAGAGGGCCCAGCUCAGACACCAGAGUGCACUGAGGAGAUGAAAUAUUUUGCCCCCAGCAGGGGACCCCAGCUGAGCCUCCAGGUCCUCCUGUGGAGGCUGAACCUUCCCCCAGUCAGCAGGAGCAGCCAGCUCAGCCUUCUGAGUUUUCUGGGGAGGUGGAAUUUUCUCAGACCCAGGAGACCCCCAACUCUGCCUCCAGAGUCUUCUAUAGAGAGUGUAGCUCAAACUCCACUGAAUCAUGAAGUGACAGUUCAAACUCAGGGUGAGGAUCAAGCUCAUUAUACCUUGCCGAGCAUUACAGUUAAACCUGCAGAUGUAGAGAUUAGCAUAACUUCAGAGCCUACCACGGACACUGACUCUUCUCCAGCCCAGCAGGCGGCCCCAAACCAGCAUCCAGAGCAGGUGUAACCUUCUGCAACCCAACAGGAGGCCACAACUGAGCCUCCAGGUCCUCAUGUGAAUGCUGAACAUUCCCCAGUGAGCAGGAGCAGCCAGGUCUGCCUUCUGGGUUUUCUGGAGAAGUUGAGUCCUCUCUAGCCUGCAGGAGACCCCAGCCCAGCCUCCAGAACAUCAUCAAGUAACAGUUCCACCUCCUGGUCACCAUCAAGUUCAACACUGAGAUUUGCCCAAUGUCACUGUUAAGCCUCCAAAUAUGCAGCUCACCAUAGCAACACAGCCUACUGCAGAGGUGGGAACUUCGCCAGUCCAUCAGGAGGCUACAGCUCAGCUCUCAGGGCCAGUUAAUGAUGUGGAACAUUCUGACAUCCAGCAUGGGGCCCCGCCUCUGCCUACAGAGUCAUCGGAAGAGACUGGACCUUUACCAGUUCAACAGGAGACUUCAGCUGAAUCUCCAGAACCUACUAAAGAUGAGAACCCCUCUCCAAUACAGUAGGAGGCUGCAGGUGAGCAUCCACAGACCCCUGAGUAGGUCGAGUCUUCUCCAACCCAGCAAGAUGCCCCAGCUCAGCCUUCAGAGCUCCCUAAUGAAGUUGUAGCUCAACCUCCAGAGCAUCACAGAGUAAUAGUUUCUCCUGUAAGUCAUGAGGAAGUUCAGCCUCCAACAUUUCACCAUGUCAUUGUUAAGCCUGUGGAUCACAUGGUUACCAUGACUCCAGAGUUCACCUAUCAGGUGGAAGUUUUAACUCAACACAGGGCCCCAGCUCAGCCUUUAAUAUCCCCUGAGCAGUUUAAACAUUUGAAAGACCAGCAAAAGAUUAUCAUUCAGCAGCUAAAUACCCCUGGAAAUGAUGAACUUCCGCCAAAUCUAUCAAGAGCCCAUGACUCCAUCUCCAACUCAGCUCUCCUCAGACAUUUCAUGCUUAUCCAACGAGUGUAUAAAAGGCCCAAGAAGACAAGGUUCAGAGAGCUUCCGGAUAGCUGAACGCAUGGAGGCUGACAGGACAGUGAAGGAGAACUCAUCCACGCGCUGGGCGAGUGGUGCACCCCAACUCCACAGGAACGGAAGCUCCUCCAGAUCUUGCCUUGUGUUAUCUUUCCAUCUGGCUAUUUAUUUGCAUCCUUUUUAAAUGUAAGUAAGUGCUUCCAUGAGUUCCGUGAGCUCCUCCAGCAAAUUAAUCAACCCCGAAGAGGGUGGGUCAUGGUAACCCCAACUUGAAGCCAGCUGGUCAGACAUUCUGGAAGCCCAGACUCGUGACUGGUGGGAAGGAGGGAGCAGUUCUGUGGAACUGAUUCCUCAACCUGUGGUUUCUGAGGCUAUUUCCAGGUAGAUGGUGUCACAGUUGAAUUAACUGGUGGACACCCGGCUGUGUCCACUGCAGAACUAAUUGCUUACUUGGUGUGUGGGAAGAAACCCCUACAUAUUUUGUCACAGAAGUCUUCUGUAUUAUUAUGGUGUAAGAGAACAGGAAAAAUGCAUGUUGACUGUUUUUUCCACACUCCCAGUCCACAAAAGUUUUCUCCACUUAUGAAC